rfam:Mosquito flavivirus isolate LSFlaviV-A20-09, complete genome
GCCCCCGCAAGGAGGGACGUGUGCAUCACGUUUCUGGGAGUUAACGGCUCUCCGGCCCCA